UUGCUGUGCACACAAAGGAGCAUAAUAUGGAAGAUAGUUACCCCGAGUUCUAGAAAGAGAAUUCCUCUUGUCACGGGGCAUCCCCGAGUUCUAGAGGCAGAGUUCACCUUGUCACAGGGAAUCCCCAAGUUCUAGAGAGAGAGGUCACCUUGUCACGGGGAAUCCCCGAGUUCUAGAGAGAGAGGUCAUCUAGUCACGGGGAUCCCCGAGUUUUAGAGAGAGAGUUCACCUUGUCACAGGGAAUCCCCAAUUACUAGAGAGAGAGAGAGUUCACCUUGUCAGGGGGAGUCCCCGAGUUCUAGAGAGUUGACCUUGUCAGGAGGGAUCUCCAAUUUCUAGAGAGAGUGUUCACCUUGUCAGGAGGGAUCCCUGAGUUUUAGAGAGUUCACCUUGUUAAGGGGAAUCCCCAAUUUCUAGAGAGAGAGUUCACCUUGUCAGGGGGAAUCCCCGAGUUCUAGAGUGUUCACCUUGUCAGGGGGAAUCCCCGAGUUCUAGAGAGAGAGAGUUCACCUUGUCAGGGGCGAUCCCCGAUUUCUAGAGAGAGAGUUCACCUUGUCAGGGGUGAUUCCCGAUUUCUAGAGAGUUCACCUUGUCACAGGGAAUCCCCAAUUUCUAGAGAGUUCACCUUGUCAGGGGGGAUCCCCAAGUUCUAGAGAGAGAGAGAGUUCACUUUGUCAGGGGGAAUCCCCAAUUUCUAGAAAGAGAGUUCACCUUGUCAGGGGGAAUCCCCAAUUUCUAGAAAGAGAGUUCACCUUGUCAGGGGGAAUCCCCGAGUUCUAGAGAGAGAGAGUUCUCCUUGUCAGGGGCGAUCCCCAAUUUCUAGAGAGAGAGUUCACCUUGUCAGGGGUAACCAGGUGCAUGUCGUGCUUGCUUUAUGUUUCCAUGACCAAGGUUGUAGACGUUUAGGCAUCAAACAAGCCUGGAGCUUUAUUUUUAAUUUAACGCUUGUCUGGAUUAAUUACUGGCUAAUAAUAAAUGGAGUUUAAAUUUCACACCAUGAGUUUAUGCUCCCGUGUAAAUUUAGGAUUGUAUGUGUAAGGCUUUUUUAAAUAUCAAUUCUCUUUAUGAUGAGUAUAAAGGAAGUAGAGGCUGCCAAUUUUAAAGGCGAAAUUAUAGACUCAACCAAAAUUCUACUAUUAGGCAAUAUUUUCAUGUUUUUCUAAAUUUUAUCAUGUUUCUGGUAUCUCAGAAGUGAUGCCAGUUUGGAGUUGUGGUGAAAUUAGGUCAUCGUGUUUUGUUUUGGUUGAAUAUACAUGACCUAAAUUCACCACCAUAAUCAUUUUCAAGCACAUUCACAUGGUUGUGUGACCACCCCUCCAUCUGCCUCCGGAACAUCUCCGUGGACUCUGACCCCUCCCUGGCGCCCACCCCGCCUUGUCUCAGAACGGGCUCCACAUGGGGUCUGUCCCUUCGCGAUGCCCCCCUCCCUCCCCGUUACGGGACACCACCCCCUGGGUUCACCCCUGUUGGGGCAGAGCAGUGCUCCGCUCUGUGGCGCGUCUGAAUGCUGUCGGUGGACGAGGAGUCGACUUGUACAGAUCCGCAGUCUUGUG